UGCCAAUGUUGAAUACUGUUAUGUGAUCAAAACAAAAUUAGGGGCUCAUCGUAUUCUGAUGGGUGCUGAAAUGGAUUGCUGUGAUUCAACUGAUGAUGGAAUGAGAUUUUAUGUGGAAUUAAAGACAAGCCAUGAGUUGGACAACCAUAAGAUAGAGUACGAGUUUGAGAAAGAAAAGCUCCUCAAAUUUUGGGUACAUUACUGUUUUAAAGACAAGCCAUGAG